rnacentral:lncRNA from 1 species
GGCUGAUAUUGACCGAGGGCUGAUAAUACAUGCGAUAUGAAACAAGACAUGUUAUGAUCUUUUUAUCAUAUGCUUCAACAGUGGAGAAAAAAAAACAGAUUCAUAUAUUGAUCCUUUAACGUGGUUCCCAAAUAGGAGUUCAAAGAGUGAAAUUUCACUGACGUCGGACCCCAAAUUUAGUACAUUCAAUAUGGAAUCUUUCUAUCAUAUGAAUAAACAGAGAAGAAAAAUAUUUUAAUAUGGACGAAUCGACAAAAAUAUACAUAAUAAACAUGUUUGGAAAAUCA